rnacentral:rRNA from 1 species
AGAGUUUGAUCCUGGCUCAGAUUGAACGCUGGCGGCAGGCCUAACACAUGCAAGUCGAGCGGUAGAGAGGUGCUUGCACCUCUUGAGGGCGGCGGACGGGUGAGUAAUACCUAGGAAUCUGCCUGAUAGUGGGGGAUAACGUUCGGAAACGGACGCUAAUACCGCAUACGUCCUACGGGAGAAAGCAGGGGACCUUCGGGCCUUGCGCUAUCAGAUGAGCCUAGGUCGGAUUAGCUAGUUGGUGAGGUAAUGGCUCACCAAGGCUACGAUCCGUAACUGGUCUGAGAGGAUGAUCAGUCACACUGGAACUGAGACACGGUCCAGACUCCUACGGGAGGCAGCAGUGGGGAAUAUUGGACAAUGGGCGAAAGCCUGAUCCAGCCAUGCCGCGUGUGUGAAGAAGGUCUUCGGAUUGUAAAGCACUUUAAGUUGGGAGGAAGGGCAUUAACCUAAUACGUUAGUGUUUUGACGUUACCGACAGAAUAAGCACCGGCUAACUCUGUGCCAGCAGCCGCGGUAAUACAGAGGGUGCAAGCGUUAAUCGGAAUUACUGGGCGUAAAGCGCGCGUAGGUGGUUUGUUAAGUUGAAUGUGAAAUCCCCGGGCUCAACCUGGGAACUGCAUCCAAAACUGGCAAGCUAGAGUAUGGUAGAGGGUAGUGGAAUUUCCUGUGUAGCGGUGAAAUGCGUAGAUAUAGGAAGGAACACCAGUGGCGAAGGCGACUACCUGGACUGAUACUGACACUGAGGUGCGAAAGCGUGGGGAGCAAACAGGANUAGAUACCCUG